rnacentral:rRNA from 1 species
UACGUAGGGGGCUAGCGUUGUCCGGAAUCAUUGGGCGUAAAGCGCGCGUGGGCGGCCAGAUAAGUCCGGUGUGAAAGUCACAGGCUCAACCUGUGAAUGCCGCUGGAAACUGUCUGGCUUGAGUCCGGAAGGGGCGAGUGGAAUUCCUGGUGUAGCGGUGAAAUGCGCAGAUAUCAGGAGGAACACCAAUGGCGAAGGCAGCUCGCUGGAACGGUACUGACGCUGAGGCGCGAAAGCGUGGGGAGCAAACAGG